rnacentral:lncRNA from 1 species
CAAAAACACCCAACAUUUGCAGAUAGUUACAUACAAUGGUCAAUAACAAAAUAACUAAUUGAUCAUAUCAUUUAUUACAAUUCAUUAUAAAAUCCAUUACAAUUAUUAUCACAGAUAUUCAUAAACAUUGUGCCGAUUUCUACAUUUAAAACAAAUAAUUCAAGAAGUCUUUUCAUAAGAACAUAUAAAAUCAAGUACUAUCAUGAACAGCUAGGCAUUUUUAUUAAUUUUUUUUACAAAAUUAAUAUUAAAAAGGGCCUAUUCCAAACACUAGCUUUUCCCCUCCCAUGUAUUUACAUUUUUUUAGUACAUGUAUAUAUUACAUAUUAGAUGAAAUAGCCCUUUUAGUGUUUUGGACCACUAUAAAUUAAGUAUUCUGACUCUUUGUUGCCACCUACAAUAUUAAAGUGCAAUGAAAAAAUAUGCGUCCAGUAUAGCUGCUGAAAGCUAAACCCAAAAGUAAAAGUUUACAAUAGUUGAUCAUGCAUUAUAAUUGAGGUCAAGGCAACCCAAUUUUUGUCUGAACCUUGCUUUCCUAAUUAAUUACCAUCUAACACCCCUUUCUUUCCCCCCAAUAAAACAAACAAAAACAGGAAUCUAAAACAACAUGAUCUGAGUGAAAAUAUUCAUAACAGGUAACAUAUAUAUUUGAUUUAUUCUAUAAUACAAUAAAUAUGUUAAAUCUUUUUUCAUUAUUUUUUUUCUGAUGAAGAAAAUGAUGAGUGCAGGUAAACUGUUUAUACUAUCAAACUCUAUCUGAUGAAAUAUUUGCAGCUGGGCAUUUUGCAAUAAAAAAUCAAUCAAUCAAAAACUAUCACUGGCUUUGCUGACUGAUCUCUUUUGAAAACCACAUUAUAAAUAAAUCAUUUUUUGCUACAUGAAGAUCUUAUUCCAGCAGAUAUUGAUCCUUGAGAUAAUGGUGUUGUACUAAUGACCUAACUGUUAACUUAGAAAAAUCUAAAAUAGUACAUUUUAGAACACAGUCUGUAUCUAAAUCAAAUUUUUCAUUUUUGUUUAAUGGUAACAAUGUAGAUAUUGUUUCCCAAUACACAUAUUUAGGUUUAUUGUUUACUGAGCAUUUAAGCUAUGAUAAUAUGGCAAAAGCAGUUGCUAAAGCCGCCAGUAGAUCGUUGGGUCUGUUAAUAUCCAAAUGUAAAGCUAAUGGUGGAUUUCAAUAUUGUACAUUUACAAAAUUAUUUGAUACACUUGUAUGGUCUGUAAUAGAUUAUGGUGCCUCUAUAUGGGGAACACGUGAUUUUUCAUGUAUAAAUAGUAUUAAAAAUAGAGCCAUGCGUUUUUUCAUGGGUGUAGGAAAAUACACGCCUAAUAUGUCUUUAUAUGGUGACAUGGGCUGGAUGCCAUGUAAAAUCAAACAGUGGACUAGUGUUUUUAGAAACUGGACACGUUUUAAUAAAAUGAAUGAUGAUAGAGUAAAUAAAAAAGUGUAUAUAUGGGGUAACACAUGUAAAAAAGUCAAAAAUUGGCAUUUUAGAGUAAAAAAUAAGUUUAAAGAACUUAAUAUGGAAUAUUUGUGCAAUGGUGCUAUUUUGAACAAGGAUUUAGUUAAGAAUAUUGAAAAUGUAUGUUUUGAAAAAUUUAAGGGAGAAUGGUAUGACAAGAUUAUGUCAGAUGAUAAAAAUAAAUUACGUACAUAUAGAAUGUUUAAAAAUGUAUAUGGCGUAGAAAAUUAUUUAAUUUUUAAUAUACCAGGUAGAUACAGGAGUGCUUUAGCAAAAUUUAGAUGCGGUGUAGCACCCAUCAGAAUUGAAACUGGUCGUUAUGAGAAUAUUGAUAUUGAAAAUAGAUUAUGUUUUAACUGUACUGAUGACGUUGAAGAUGAAAAACAUGUUUUGUUAAACUGUCCUGUAUAUUCAGAGAUUCGUAAUGUUAUUUUUAACCAUGCUAGUAUUGUUGAUGAGAAUUUUUUACAUAUGUCU